AGUGAACGCUGGCGGUAGGCCUAACACAUGCAAGUCGAACGGCAGCACAGUAAGAUCUUGCUCUUACGGGUGGCGAGUGGCGGACGGGUGAUGAAUACAUCGGAAUCUACUUUUUCGUGGGGGAUAACGUAGGGAAACUUACUCUAAUACCGCAUACGACCUACGGGUGAAAGCAUGGGAUCUUCGGACCUUGCUCGAUUGAAUUAGCCGAUGUCGGAUUAGCUAGUUGGCGGGGUAAAUGCCCACCAAGGCGACGAUCCGUAGCUGGUCUGAGAGGAUGAUCAGCCAAACUGGAACUGAGACACGGUCAAGACUCCUACGGGAGGCAGCAGUGGGGAAUAUUGGACAAUGGGCGCAAGCCUGAUCCAGCAAUACCGCGUGGGUGAAGAAGGCCUUCGGGUUGUAAAGCCCUUUUGUUGGGAAAGAAAAGAAGCAGGUUAAUACCCCGCUGUUCUGACGGUACCCAAAGAAUAAGCACCGGCUAACUUCGUG
rnacentral:rRNA from 1 species